UACGAAGGGUGCAAGCGUUACUCGGAAUUACUGGGCGUAAAGCGUGCGUAGGCGGUUUGUUAAGUCCGUUGUGAAAGCCCUGGGCUCAACCUGGGAAUUGCAGUGGAUACUGGCGAGCUAGAGUGCGGUAGAGGAUGGUGGAAUUCCCGGUGUAGCGGUGAAAUGCGUAGAUAUUGGGAAGAACACCGGUGGCGAAGGCGGCUCACUGGCUCGUAUCUGACGCUCAGGCGCGACAGCGUGGGGAUCAAACAGG
rnacentral:rRNA from 1 species